rnacentral:rRNA from 1 species
GAAGGACGCGGUAAGCUGCGAUAAGCUACGGAGAGGUGCAAGCAACCUUUGACCCGUAGAUUUCCGAAUGGGGGAACCCGGCAGUGGUUAUGCACUGUCACCCAUACCUUUGAGUAUGAGGAGGGCACCUGGGGAACUGAAACAUCUAAUUACCCAGAGGAAAAGUAAUCAAACGAGAUUUUCUUAGUAGCGGCGAGCGAACGGGAAAGAGGCCAAACCGGAGCGGGCAACCGCACCGGGGUUGAGGACAGUCAUCAAGUGUAAAUGAGGUAGAAGAAUCGAGUUGGAAAGCUCAGCCGAAGAAGGUGAAAGCCCUGUAAUCGAAACCUUGCAUACAUGGGACUGUAUCCAGAGUACCACGAGACACGUGAAACCUUGUGGGAAGCAGGGGGGACCACCCUCCAAGCCAAAAUACUGAUAUCGACCGAUAGCGCAUAGUACCGUGAGGGAAAGGUGAAAAGAACCCCUGGCGGGGAGUGAAAGAGAACCUGAAACCGUAUGUCUACAAACAGUCGAAGUCUGUAUAUAUAUCAGGACGACGGCGUGCCUAUUGAAGAAUGAACCGACGAGUUACUGUUGCUAGCGAGGUUAAGUGGAAAACACGGAGCCGCAGCGAAAGCGAGUCUGAACAGGGCGUUCAGUUAGUAAUAGUAGACCCGAAACCGUAGUGAUCUAUCCAUGGCCAGGUUGAAGCACAGGUAAAAUUGUGUGGAGGACCGAACUCGUGAGCGUUGAAAAGCUUUGGGAUGAGUUGUGGAUAGGGGUGAAAUGCCAAUCGAACACGGAGAUAGCUGGUUCUCCCCGAAAUAGCUUUAGGGCUAGCCUCGAGGUUGAGAGUAUAGGCGGUAGAGCACUGAUCGGGCUAGGGGCCAUACCGGUUACCGAACCUAGUCAAACUACGAAUGGCUAUACUUAUACUCGGGAGUCAGACAGUGAAUGAUAAGGUCCAUUGUCAAGAGGGAAACAGCCCAGAACACCGACUAAGGUCCCAAAUGUCAUACUAAGUGGCGAAGGAUGUGGAAUUUCCAAAACAACCAGGAUGUUGGCUUAGAAGCAGCCACCAUUUAAAGAGUGCGUAAUAGCUCACUGGUCGAGAGACUCUGCGCCGAAAAUGUCCGGGGCUAAAGUGUAAAACCGAAGUCGUGUCAUAUGCAGCAAUGUAUAUGGGUAGGGGAGCGUUCUCAUCGGAUUGAAGCAGUACCGUAAGGAGUUGUGGACUGAUGAGAAGUGAGAAUGUCGGUAUGAGUAGCGAAAAGAAUGGUGAGAAUCCAUUCCACCGAAAGCCUAAGGGUUCCUGAGCAACGAUCGUCGUCUCAGGGUAAGUCGGGACCUAAGCCGAGGCGGAAAAGCGUAGGCGAUGGACAACAGGUUGAAAUUCCUGUACCGGUGUGAAUCGUUUGAUCGAUGGAGUGACACAGUAAGGUAGGUCAGCACGCGAUUGGAAGUGCGUGUUUAAGCAUGUAGGUUGAGUUAUAGGCAAAUCCGUAACUCUAAAAGCUGAGAUGUGAUGACGAGUUACUAGCGAUAGUAACGAAGUGAUUGAUCCUACACUGUCGAGAAAAGCUUCUAGGUAGAGACACAUCGCCCGUACCAAAACCGACACAGGUAGGCGGGGAGAGAAUCCUAAGGUGCGCGGGAAAACCCUCGUUAAGGAACUCGGCAAAAUGCCUCCGUAACUUCGGGAAAAGGAGGACUCAUGUAGUGUGAAGUGCAGCAACGCAUGGAGCAUGAAUGAGUGGCACAAGAGAGGCGCAAGCGACUGUUUACCACAAACACAGGUGCCUGCUAAAGCGAAAGCUGAUGUAUAGGUGCUGACACCUGCCCGGUGCUGGAAGGUUAAGAGGAGGGGUUAGACUUCGGUCGAAGCUCUGAAUUGAAGCCCCAGUAAACGGCGGCCGUAACUAUAACGGUCCUAAGGUAGCGAAAUUCCUUGUCGGGUAAGUUCCGACCCGCACGAAAGGUGUAACGACUUGCGCACUGUCUCAACGAGGGACCCGGUGAAAUUGAAGUACCUGUGAAGAUGCAGGUUACCCGCGACUGGACAGAAAGACCCCAUGGAGCUUUACUGCAACCU